rnacentral:misc_RNA from 1 species
GUAGGUGAACCUGCGGAAGGAUCAUUAACACGAAUUUUAUCCAAUAUCAAAACCAAACGUGAACUUUUCCCCUCCCUAUUCAAUCAGGGAUCAUAAUAUUGACUAUUAUGCUCUCUUUUGUUUAGGCUAACCUUUUUUACUCUAUAUAGACAUAGUUCUUCUGAUCUAUUGCUAUAUAUAGUUUUAACCCCUAACAACUUAACUCUAGUUUGUCGAGUUUCUUGGAUCCUCUUCAACUACUAACACUAAAAAUGUCAUUUCUCUUAAUUGAGUAUGGCUUUUUUCGAUAUUACGAAAAUUAAGAACAACUCUUAACAAUGGAUAUCUUGGUUCUC